rnacentral:tRNA from 1 species
AGCUUCUUAAUUUAUAUAAAAUAUUUACCUUGAAAGUAAAAAAAGUAAUUAACUCAGUAGCUU